UAACGCGUGGGAAUCUGCCUAUCAGUGGGGAAUAACGACGGGAAACUGUCGCUAAUACCGCAUACGCCCUUAGGGGGAAAGAUUUAUCGCUGAUAGAUGAGCCCGCGUACGAUUAGCUAGUUGGUGAGGUAAUGGCUCACCAAGGCUACGAUCGUUAGGUGGUCUGAGAGGAUGAUCAGCCACACUGGGACUGAGACACGGCCCAGACUCCUACGGGAGGCAGCAGUGGGGAAUAUUGGACAAUGGGCGAAAGCCUGAUCCAGCAAUGCCGCAUGAGAUGUGAAGGCCUUAGGGUUGU
rnacentral:rRNA from 1 species